GUGGCAGAUAUUUCUGUGUUGCAUUGAUUAGUAAUUUAAUGUGACAUUAAUACUGCCACAAGAUAAAAUGGUUCCUGCCGACAGAACCUCUACAGGCAUUGGGGUUUCUGUGCGAUGGUUCCAUACAUU